ensembl:lncRNA novel transcript
CUGAGAAUCUUCAGGAGAGAAAAUUCCGAUGGCAGUUGAGAGCAACGGUGGAGCAGCGAAGCCCACAGGCAGCAGAGCACACAGACCUGGGAGGGGUGCAGAGGCAGGAGUUACGGCUGCCUCUGGUGCUGAACGGUGGACACUGUGAAUCAAGACCAAAUUCGUGACAAACUCACACAUUUUUAAAAGAAGCAAAUCAGCAACUGCCAAGUCCAAAGGAGCUGGCCAAAGAUAAGACCAAGGUGCGGGUGUGUAGAAGAGAUGUCCGUGCACAGGUGUGCUUCCGCGUGGCCAUCCAAUUGUGGACAUGGUGAUGGUGCACUGAGCCCCAGAGAGCCUGCCAAACAUUUCCCAUUCAGGAUGCCUUUGGGAUCUCAGUAAUGCUUUGCAGUGCCCCUAAACUAAAAGAAAUAACUAGUAGUUCUGUUAAUACAUAGUUAGGUCCAAACAACUCAACACCUGGUAUCUGACAGAUGCCACUGUUGCCACUUUGAAAUUUUUAAAAUAUUCUUUGGCAGUUCUGUGAGCUUGCUGCAGUGUCCUAGCGGCAUAUCAGUGCAAAAUUUGAGAACCACAAACUGUGGAUUAGGAACCCUGGUUGAGUACGGCACCCCUUACUCCCUACUACCAAAGUGAGAGAUGGCAGACAUGUUUGUCUCCAAUUUUAAUAGAGUAAAAUUUGUUUAAAAGAGCCAA